UAAUAUAAUUUUUACAUGCAAACAUGCAUGUGACAAAACAUUCUAAAAUUUUAUGUAAAAUCGAUUGUGUAAACAGACAACUGCUGCUACAGUAACUACCGUCCCUCUUCUCUAUGCUCCAUGCGCUCAAGCUAAUGUGUGCAACCAAGCAUGUGCGCAGCUAAAGAGGAGGUGGAAGAGCAGUCGCAAAAAGGACUUCUUCGGGGUCAGGAAAAAAGGGGGGGAGAAAUGAAGUAAGAGAGAAAAAAACGGCGAGAUAUAAGUUUAUCUUCAUCCUCUGCAGAGCAGUCUAUCAUCCUGCAGUAUGCCUGCUGAUUUACCUGGUCCAUCUUCGGUGGUCACUGAGGUUGAUGCCACAUCUGUGUCCUCUGCAACUUCCGUUUUCACCAUGGAUCAGGCGCUCCACUAGUUUACCCAGCUGAGUGACUUUCUUCUCAGACUUCAGAAAGAACUGAUCGGGUAUUCAGAGGGCCACUGCCUAUAAAGGAGAAUUUAAUGUUCUCCACAACAAUAUGGCUGAAGCUUCCACCACCACAAUACCUAAAGACAAAUGUUCAGUGGCGAAAGUUCAAGCAGAUGUACAUCUCUUUAUUUACAUAAGUAUUUAUAGCUUUUUAAAAAUAUUUUAUUAUAAUUGAUAGAUGU